AAAGAAUUGACGGGGGCCCGCACAAGCGGUGGAGCAUGUGGUUUAAUUCGAAGCAACGCGAAGAACCUUACCAGGCCUUGACAUGCAGAGAACUUUCCAGAGAUGGAUUGGUGCCUUCGGGAACUCUGACACAGGUGCUGCAUGGCUGUCGUCAGCUCGUGUCGUGACGAUGUUGGGUUAAGUCCCGUAACCGAGCGCAACCCUUGUCCUUAGUUACCAGCACGUUAUGGUGGGCACUCUAAGGAGACUGCCGGUGACAACCGGAGGAAGGUGGGGAUGACGUCAAGUCCUCAUGGCCUUUAUGACCAGGGCUACACACGUACUACAAUGGCCGAUACAAAGGGCAGCGACACUGCGAGGUGAAGCCAAUCCCGUAAAAUCGGUCUCAGUCCGGAUUGGAGUCUGCAACUCGACUCCAUGAAGUUGGAAUCGCUAGUAAUCGUGGAUCAGCAUGCCACGGUGAAUACGUUCCCGGGCCUU
rnacentral:rRNA from 1 species